CAUUCUACAAAAAUGGAUACAACUAUGGUAGCAAACUUAAACCCUGGUGAUGGAGACAAGCCAAUAGAAAUAAAAGUCAUUAGGAAAUGGUUAUCAUAUGGGAAAAAAGCUGAAUGUUGCUACAUAUUCCUUGAUAAAAGUGUGAGUGCAGUCACCAUAAUAUUACAUGCAAUUGUCAAUUAUAAUCAAUUCUUUGUUAGAUACUUAUACAUAUACAUAUAAAACCAUUCAUUUUUGGCAGGGAGAUGCAAUAGAAGCAUGUGGUUGCUUGGGAGAUAAAGGCUACUUUGAUUCGAUAAUCAGGAUGGAUGGUUGUUACUCUGUAAGCAACUACGUGUGUGACAAUGCAAAUACUUUCUUUGUUACUGUCCCACACAAAACCAAAAUCAAGCUAGGCAGGGCAACAAAAUUUGAAGAAAUACGUGAUGAUGGAUUUCCUGUGUACUACUUCAAUUUUCUUGCAUAUGGUCAAUUAGGUGCAAGGCUUGAUAACCAUAAGACACUCACAUG
rnacentral:lncRNA from 1 species